UUAGUGGCGAACGGGUGAGUAACACGUGAGUAACCUGCCCUUAACUCUGGGAUAAGCCUGGGAAACUGGGUCUAAUACCGGAUAGGAGCGCCUACCGCAUGGUGGGUGUUGGAAAGAUUUAUCGGUUUUGGAUGGACUCGCGGCCUAUCAGCUUGUUGGUGAGGUAAUGGCUCACCAAGGCGACGACGGGUAGCCGGCCUGAGAGGGUGACCGGCCACACUGGGACUGAGACACGGCCCAGACUCCUACGGGAGGCAGCAGUGGGGAAUAUUGCACAAUGGGCGCAAGCCUGAUGCAGCGACGCCGCGUGAGGGAUGACGGCCUUCGGGUUGUAAACCUCUUUCAGUAGGGAAGAAGCGAAAGUGACGGUACCUGCAGAAGAAGCACCGGCUAACUACGUGCCAGCAGCCGCGGUAAUACGUAGGGUGCGAGCGUUAUCCGGAAUUAUUGGGCGUAAAGAGCUCGUAGGCGGUUUGUCGCGUCUGUCGUGAAAGUCCGGGGCUUAACCCCGGAUCUGCGGUGGGUACGGGCAGACUAGAGUGCAGUAGGGGAGACUGGAAUUCCUGGUGUAGCGGUGGAAUGCGCAGAUAUCAGGAGGAACACCGAUGGCGAAGGCAGGUCUCUGGGCUGUAACUGACGCUGAGGAGCGAAAGCAUGGGGAGCGAACAGGAUUAGAUACCCUGGUAGUCCAUGCCGUAAACGUUGGGCACUAGGUGUGGGGACCAUUCCACGGUUUCCGCGCCGCAGCUAACGCAUUAAGUGCCCCGCCUGGGGAGUACGGCCGCAAGGCUAAAACUC
rnacentral:rRNA from 1 species